GCCAGACUCCUACGGGAGGCAGCAGUGGGGAAUAUUGGACAAUGGGGGGAACCCUGAUCCAGCGACGCCGCGUGAGUGAAGAAGUAUUUCGGUAUGUAAAGCUCUCUCAGCAGGGAAGAAAGAAAUGACGGUACCUGAGUAAGAAGCCCCGGCUAACUACGUGCCAGCAGCCGCGGUAAUACGUAGGGGGCAAGCGUUAUCCGGAUUUACUGGGUGUAAAGGGGGCGCAGACGGCAGCGCAAGCCAGGAGUGAAAGCCCGGGGCCCAACCCCGGGACUGCUCUUGGAACUGGGCGGCUGGAGUGCAGGAGGGGCAGGCGGAAUUCCUGGUGUAGCGGUGAAAUGCGCAGAUAUCAGGAGGAACACCGGUGGCGAAGGCGGCCUGCUGGACUGCGACUGACGUUGAGGCCCGAAAGCGUGGGGAGCAAACAGGAUUAGAUACCCCCGUACA
rnacentral:rRNA from 1 species